ensembl:lncRNA
UGGACUCCAAUAGAGCUCUCCAUGUUAUUUUGACUCCAGCACAAUGGAAGUAAUUCCUUAUUAUGGCGAGUUGAGACAAAUUAUCUAAAAUUAUAGGGUCGUUGGAUUUCUCUACAAAUAGCAACCAAACACCCUCACAUGUUGCUGUCGAGUGGCACCAAGAGCUCCAGCUGUUAUAAGAGAUCAUUUCUUGACUCUGUCCCAUGGAACUAAAUUGCUUCUUUUCCUGCUUCACUUCAUUAGGUGGGUGAUCAGUGGGUUUCCACUGGAGUAUGAAGAUAAUAUCCUCCAACUAGACCAAGCCUUUGAUGCUGAGAUCACACUCGGACCGUGCGUGCCGCCGCCGGGUACCGGAGCGGGGCCGGACGGAUCAGCGUGGGCUGAAUGCCCUCUACCGGGGGAACCCGGAGGUUACCCACAGCCGCACCAUCGUGGUAAUUAAACGAGCAAGGAAAAAGAGACAGAUUAAUUGAUUGAACUGGUUCCAGGAGAAACCAUUAGUCCUGUUCCUCUUCUGCUCUAUAUGGUGUUUAAACAACUCUGAAAUGGAGCCCGGUGAAUCCUGCCAAACAUAUUUCUGUAAGCGUUGCUUUGAUUUUCAAAUGAAUUGUCUUCAUCUGCUUUUAUCCCCCUGUUGCCUUAGCUUUAUAUGAAAAUGUGUACAAUCUUCUUGCUUAUGAAAAAGAAAGAAAGAAAAAAGCUAAUAUGUUUCAAUAUGACUGAAGAUGAAUUUUGUUCCUGUGAGCUCAAGAGUUAUGUGGCAACAGGACCAAAAUAAUGUCAUGUGACAGACCAAUAAUCACUAAUGACAUUGUUCAAAUAUGCCACAGUGCAAAUGAAUAAUACUAUGCUGUGGAUCAAAUAUAGCAAAAUUAUUUAACUUUUAUCGCAAACAACAGAAACUCUGUUUUUAGAGGGGGGGGAAAAAAAAAAAAGGAAGAGAGAAACGUACCAAAUACUGCAGUUUCUGCCAGUUAUUUUAUUGAAACGAUUAAGAAUAUUUUUCUUUUAAAUUGCAUUCAGUUAAUGUGCAUUUAUAAAUGUGAUGUCAGUAAGAAUAGAGUGUAUUAGUCAAAUCUGUGUUUGGGGAAUAUGAAUAAUAUUUAUUAACCAUAAAAUCCCAUGAUAUUAAUAGAUAUACUAGCAUAUUUUUUUAAGUGUUUUGAAAAGAAGGAAGGAAGAAGAAAAAUCAUGAAGGAGUGACUUCUAAGUGAAUUUUACCAGAAAAAUCAUCAACAUUAAAGAAAUACAAUUUUUCAUCUGGAUCUAAUCUAAAGUUUCAUAAAAUAUUUCUGUUGAACAAUUAUUCAGUGAGAGGUUGAAUAAAUAUAGUGGUAAAAGCCACAGUGAAGUUUUCCUGAUGAUUUGAAAAAUAGGCAAAAAACUCACUUCUAUCUCCAUGAAUAAGAAAGAUUACUAAUUUAGUUUGUAUUAGUAUUCUACUUUUCUUUCUAAUUUCCUUUAUGGAACAUAUCAGAUUAUAUAAGACUGCAGAAGGGCUGAGAUUUUCAAAGUUACCUUUUGAAUUUAUUUUUUUUUAAUGAGCAGAUCUGAAGCUUAGAACAAUUCAUUUUCCUAAAUCACAAGUCCUUGGUUUGAUAAUGAGCGUGGGGAUUCCUAUUUCAGCCUGGAUAACUGUUCACCUCAAGAAUGUGCUGCAGAUCCUCUGCCCUCCCAGGAAGACCUACAUGUUUGGAGAAAGCACUGUGAUUUGAAAUCUGUGAGGAAGAACACAAAAGGCAGAUGAGGAUGUGUCAUCCCAGACACACCUGUUUGAGAAUGACAUAGCCAAAGAGAAGAAAGCCCAAGAGGAGAGUCCUGUGGAUGCUUUUAACAGUGAAAUUAUUUGAGGAAAAGUCAGGUCCACUUCAGUAAUGGAAUGAAAAAAGUAAUGGAAGGAGCCCAGGCUCUCCUUGAAGCAGCAGGGAGUAUCAGCCUCCCAUGGCUAAGUGACAGCAGCACUGAGAUCUUGGUGCUUCACACCUUUUCCAACACUUCCAUGUGACUGCAGUGACUUUGCCCUUGCCAGUGCCUUCAGUCCCUGAAGGAAGUACCUAUCUGAACCUAAAGUGCUGACUUUGCUGUGAUGCCACCAGCAACUACAGUUUUCCUCCUGCAAAAACCUCCUUAUGCAUUAUGAAACAAUAUGUGUUAUGUUUUGCUUUAUAAAUAAUCAGUUUUUGCAAACUUAUAUAUCAUCUGUGUGACAAACACUUUGUUCCAUGGUAAUGAAUACAAGUCUGUGUCCAAACAUCACGUUUAAACACCAAAAAAUAAAUAAAAAAAAAAUCCUUUGAGGCUACAACUUCAUGUUCAACAGAUGAGGUUCUGUUCAACCUGGAGCUCUGUGACUGUGAUGAACACAGAACAGCACAGGAGUAAAUCUUCCCUCUACUUUGCCCCCCCCCCCCCCGGGACAAUGUUUUCUAGAAAAGAUCAGACGGUGUUUUAAUGCCUGGGGAAAAACAGAACGUGACCCACAGUAUAUUUAGGCAGUUCCAUUUCUGCUUGCUAUUUUUAAAAGCAUAUGCGUUAUUUAAAAAUAAUUAGCUUGAGCCCAUUUAUGUACAAUGUAUAUAUUGCACAUAUGUCUAGACAGAACAAGAAACAAUGUAAUCACAACCUUACUACACUAAAGGCCUUGGCAUAAGAAACACAGACAGUGAAAGCCAAAGAGAUUUUACCUGUCAUAUGUAUUUCCCUCAUUUAAAUAUAUUAAAACAGAACAAAAAUAAACUUCUGAUGCUCAGAGUUUAACCCAGUGUAACAUAGCAGUUAUUUCAGUCUUUACUACAACAAUUAUUGAUAUUCUAUAUGUUCAUGUGCAGUAAAACGUGAGACAGAAAUCUCGAUGACUUAUUGUUCUGCAACUUCAAAUUUCAUCUGUUGUUUGUGGAAAGAAAAGGUAUCUUCAGAUAUGUACACACAUUUUUCUCUAAAUGUCUCUGCAUGGCAAGUAAGGCUGUAUGGGGCGAAAGGGCGACAGCAGGUUUUACUCUGCAAAUGUGAGCAUGUGCAUCUGCAGUCUUCUGUCCCUUUAAAAUUUAAUUACACAGUAUAAUAAGGCUGCUAUGUAUGUAUAAUAUUAUCAUAUUUAGUGAAUCAUAGGGCUGGAUAUAAGGAAGAAUCUCUAUUGAGUCAAAUUCUCCCAGAGGCGUUACUAGAGCUUGGACUGGCACAUGGCUAAUGCUUUUCUAUUUCUUUUGAUUCAACAGCAAGGCUAAAUAUACUUGCAAAGAAAAAGAUCCAGUUGAAUAAAAUCCAUAUGAAGCCUGCUGUAAUUACAUAAUUUGAGUAAAUUUAUGCCUUAGGACUUUCUUAAGAGUAGAAAUUCUCUGAACAGAAACAGUGCAUUUCUAGGGAGUGCCAGUAAGGAGCUUCAAAGUACU